rnacentral:rRNA from 1 species
AACGAACGCUGGCGGCGUGCUUAACACAUGCAAGUCGAACGGAAAGGCCCCUUUGGGGGUACUCGAGUGGCGAACGGGUGAGUAACACGUGAGUAACCUGCCCUUGACUUCGGGAUAACUUCAGGAAACUGGGGCUAAUACCGGAUAGGAAUCCUUGCUGCAUGGUGGGGGUUGGAAAGCUUCGGCGGUUUUGGAUGGACUCGCGGCUUAUCAGCUUGUUGGUGGGGUAGUGGCUUACCAAGGCUUUGACGGGUAGCCGGCCUGAGAGGGCGACCGGCCACAUUGGGACUGAGAUACGGCCCAGACUCCUACGGGAGGCAGCAGUGGGGAAUAUUGCACAAUGGGCGGAAGCCUGAUGCAGCAACGCCGCGUGCGGGAUGACGGCCUUCGGGUUGUAAACCGCUUUCAGCAGGGGCGAAGCUUGUGGUGACGGUACCUGCAGAAGAAGCACCGGCUAACUACGUG